rnacentral:rRNA from 1 species
GACGACGCUGGCGGCGUGCUUAACACAUGCAAGUCGAACGAGUGGCGAACGGGGGAGUAAUACGUGGGAACCUGCCCGAUAGAGGGGGAUAACUACUGGAAACGGAGGCUAAUACCGCAUACUAUCGGAUAAACCCAUAUGGGAUUAGGUAGUAGGUAGGGUAAAGGCUCACCUAGGCGACGAUCUCUAGCUGGUCUGAGAGGAUGAUCAGUCACACUGGGACUGAGACACGGCCCAGACUCCUACGGGAGUCAGCAGUGGGGAAUAUUGAACAAUGGGCGCAAGCCUGAUGCAGCCAUGCCGCGUGUAUGAAGAAGGCCUUAGGGUUGUAAAGUACUUUCAGCGAGGAGGCGUUAGCCGCAGAAGAAGCACCGGCUAACUCCGUGCCAGCAGCCGCGGUGAUUC